CAGCCCUUAACCGUCACUUUGGCCUCCGUUGUGCUGCGGCGGGGACUCCAUGGAGCUGAGCGCGAAAUGGCGGAAGAAGCAUCGUCUGGAAGGUGACGGCGUUGACGUCGAGGAUGACUCAGAGCCAAUCGAUUACCAAGAACAAGAGGAGAUGGUUAGAUCUUUUGAGAUGGAGCAUGAUCGACAGAAUCGCCUUUGGAGGCGUGUUUUCGCUGGAUUUAUCGUCGGAUAUAUUGCCUUCCUGGUCUACUCAAUCUUACAGCAAGCUUGGUUCCCAUGGGAACUGCGUUAUCAUGCUUAUUUUAUGGAUGAAAUGCAAAGCUGGAUGGUCAUAUCUGCAGACUUGGUUGCUGUCCUAGCUUGUUCAUUUGCUGUUAAGGGAAUAAUUGAUAGUUCAAGAUCUCUGCAGCAUUGGAUGUGGUACUCGUGCUACGUCGGGAUGCUGCUUGCCAUCUUUUGGUUGUUUUACAUGCUGAAGUUGCCAAAAUUUCGGUGGGAUGUACUAUGGCUUCCGUUGGGUCCUUUAAGUGGUGCGGGAGCCUGCCUUUACGUGGAUCGUUUGUUACAUGGAUCACUGAAAGAUGUAAAGUUGCUCCGUAGCUAUAUGUAUAAUUACAAGGCCUUGUAGAUCUGAUUCCUCCAGUUGGCUAAGGAAUCUGUGUGUGUAGGGCUCUUCUUGGUCAAUGCUGCUGUCAUACCUUUUGAUCGACAUUAUUGUGUAUACGUGCUCGUUUGCAUAACAAGUACAAAAUGGUUUGCCCUCUUUCAAUUUCUUGUCUCUAUUGCUGGUUGCAGGCUUGUACCUCACACAAAAAGGGCUCUUCUUCAAUGCUGCUGUCAUACCUUCUGAUCGACGGUAUUGUGUAUGCGUGCUCGUUUGCAUCACAAAGUAAUUGUCUCUAUUGCUGGUUGUAGGCUUGUACCUCUCACAAAAAGUCUGUUGUAAUUGGAUCAGAGCCAAAAUGUUCAAUUUGUUUCAUUGUAAGGCCGUGAGAAUGACUAUAUCAAUUUUCAUUAGUAUUGAAUUACAAAUAUAUUAGUUUGUGCA